UUACGGCCACAUCCCGUUGAAACACCUGUUCCCGUACAAGCACCGAAGUUAAGCAAUGUCAAGCCUGGUCAGCAACUAGAUGGGUGACCGUAUAAGAAUAUCAAGUGAUGUAAG